rnacentral:rRNA from 1 species
AUGCUCGGUAAGGUAGCAACAUAUGUGUAUGUCGUUGAGUUUCAGAAAAGAGGUCUACCACAUGCUCAUUUCCUCCUAAUCAUGAAGGGGAGGUACAAGCUAACUUGCCCAGAGCAAUAUGACUGUCUAAUAUCUGCUGAAUUGCCAGACAAAUCCAAGUACCCAGAGUUGUACAAAAUGGUCGUCAAGCACAUGAUGCAUGGCCCUUGUGGAGUCCUCAACCCCAAGAACGUGUGCAUGCAAAAUGGUAGCUGCAAGAACUACUAUCCACAACCAUUUAAUGCGUCAACCCUUCAGGGAAAGGACUCAUAUCCCAUAUACCGGAGGAGAGAUGAUGGACGUCGUGCGAAGGUACGGGGUGAAGAUUUAGACAAUAGGUGGGUUGUUCCAUACAAUCCUUACCUACUAAGAAGGUAUAACUGCCACAUCAAUGUUGAGGUUUGCUCAAGCAUAAAAGCUGUGAAGUACCUCUUUAAAUACAUAUAUAAGGGGCAUGAUCGAGCAUCUGUUUCUAUCGACGCGGUGGAUAGUGACGGAAACAUUGAUGAAAUAAAGAAAUACAGAGAUUCCAGAUGGGUUACACCACCAGAAGCAUUAUGA